rnacentral:rRNA from 1 species
ACUAAACGCUGGCGGCGUGCCUAACACAUGCAAGUCGUACGAGAAAAGUUGGCUUCGGCCGAUGAGUAAAGUGGCGCACGGGUGAGUAAUGCGUGGAUAAUCUGCCCUUUAGUUGGGAAUAACGUACCGAAAGGUGCGCUAAUACCUGAUAAUACUGCAUAACUACUGUUGUGUAGUCAAAGAAGGCCUCUGUUUACAAGCUUUUGCUGAAGGAUGAGUCCGCGUACCAUUAGCUGGUUGGUGGGGUAAUGGCCUACCAAGGCUACGAUGGUUAGCUGGUCUGAGAGGAUGAUCAGCCACACUGGAACUGAGACACGGUCCAGACUCCUACGGGAGGCAGCAGUGGGGAAUAUUGCACAAUGGGGGAAACCCUGAUGCAGCGACGCCGCGUGGAGGAUGACACAUUUCGGUGCGUAAACUCCUUUUAUAUAGGAAGAUAAUGACGGUACUAUAUGAAUAAGCACCGGCUAACUCCGUGCCAGCAGCCGAC